rnacentral:rRNA from 1 species
AAUGAACGCNGCGGCAGGCCUAACACAUGCAAGUCGAACGGUAACAGGAAGCAGCUUGCUUCUUUGCUGACGAGUGGCGGACGGGUGAGUAAUGUCUGGGAAACUGCCUGAUGGAGGGGGAUAACUACUGGAAACGGUAGCUAAUACCGCAUAACGUCGCAAGACCAAAGAGGGGGACCUUCGGGCCUCUUGCCAUCGGAUGUGCCCAGAUGGGAUUAGCUAGUAGGUGGGGUAACGGCUCACCUAGGCGACGAUCCCUAGCUGGUCUGAGAGGAUGACCAGCCACACUGGAACUGAGACACGGUCCAGACUCCUACGGGAGGCAGCAGUGGGGAAUAUUGCACAAUGGGCGCAAGCCUGAUGCAGCCAUGCCGCGUGUAUGAAGAAGGCCUUCGGGUUGUAAAGUACUUUCAGCGGGGAGGAAGGGAGUAAAGUUAAUACCUUUGCUCAUUGACGUUACCCGCAGAAGAAGCACCGGCUAACUCCGUGCCAGCAGCCGCGGUAAUACGGAGGGUGCAAGCGUUAAUCGGAAUUACUGGGCGUAAAGCGCACGCAGGCGGUUUGUUAAGUCAGAUGUGAAAUCCCCGGGCUCAACCUGGGAACUGCAUCUGAUACUGGCAAGCUUGAGUCUCGUAGAGGGGGGUAGAAUUCCAGGUGUAGCGGUGAAAUGCGUAGAGAUCUGGAGGAAUACCGGUGGCGAAGGCGGCCCCCUGGACGAAGACUGACGCUCAGGUGCGAAAGCGUGGGGAGCAACAGAUA